ACGAACGCUGGCGGCGUGCUUAACCCAUGCAAGUCGAACGGAAAGGCCUCUUUCGGGGGGUACUCGAGUGGCGAGCGGGUGAGUAACACGUGAGUAACCUGCCCUUGACUUUGGGAUAACUUCAGGAAACUGGGGCUAAUACCGGAUAGGAGCUCCUGCUGCAUGGUGGGGGUUGGAAAGUUUCGGCGGUUGGGGAUGGACUCGCGGCUUAUCAGCUUGUUGGUGGGGUAGUGGCUUACCAAGGCUUUGACGGGUAGCCGGCCUGAGAGGGUGACCGGCCACAUUGGGACUGAGAUACGGCCCAGACUCCUACGGGAGGCAGCAGUGGGGAAUAUUGCACAAUGGGUGGAAGCCUGAUGCAGCAACGCCGUGUGCGGGAUGACGGCCUUCGGGUUGUAAACCGCUUUCGCUCAUGACGAAGCUUUGUGUGACGGUAGUGGGUAAAGAAGCACCGGCUAACUACGUG
rnacentral:rRNA from 1 species